rnacentral:rRNA from 1 species
UACGGAGGGUGCAAGCGUUAAUCGGAAUUACUGGGCGUAAAGCGCGCGUAGGCGGUUUAGUAAGUCGGAUGUGAAAUCCCCGGGCUUAACCUGGGAACUGCAUUCGAUACUGCUUAACUAGAGUAUGGUAGAGGGAAGUGGAAUUCCGGGUGUAGCGGUGAAAUGCGUAGAUAUCCGGAGGAACAUCAGUGGCGAAGGCGACUUCCUGGACCAAUACUGACGCUGAGGUGCGAAAGCGUGGGGAGCAAACAGGAUUAGAUACCCCAGUA